AUGCUUCUUCAAGACCUUGGAGGACGUUUCCCAGGUACCAUAGCCAGGUUGAAGAGCCCGACGAAUCCACCAUCACGGGACGCUGUUGCCUGUACAUACCUGCUGCCAUCAGUACAAAGGCGCUCAGGCAACCCAGAGGACCCAGAGCCAGCCGUUGCCGCCCCUUCCACACACAAAGGGGAAAGAACAGCCCCGAAGCCCCCAGCCAGCAGCGGCCGCACCUCGCCGUGCGGCGCUGCGCCCUUGGCGACCAGGAGGUGGCGCCUCAGCACCGCAGCCGGAGGCGGGCACGGCCCCGCUGGGCUCCCGGGCCUCACUCUUUCGGUUCUUUCUGUCCCUGCAAUGAACUUAGAACAGUUCUUACUUGUCUUUGACUUCAUAUUUUCUUUACCCGGAUAA
rnacentral:lncRNA from 1 species